GGACCCGCACAAGCGGUGGAGCAUGUGGUUUAAUUCGAAGCAACGCGAAGAACCUUACCUAGUCUUGACAUCCCGAUGACCGGAACGUAACAGUUCCUUCUCUUCGGAGCAUUGGUGACAGGUGGUGCAUGGUUGUCGUCAGCUCGUGUCGUGAGAUGUUGGGUUAAGUCCCGCAACGAGCGCAACCCUUAUCUUUAGUAGCCAGCAUUUCGGAUGGGCACUCUAGAGAGACUGCCAGGGAUAACCUGGAGGAAGGUGGGGAUGACGUCAAAUCAUCAUGCCCCUUAUGAUUAGGGCUACACACGUGCUACAAUGGCGUAACAAAGGGAAGCGACCCUGCGAAGGUGAGCAAAUCUCAAAAUAACGUCUCAGUUCGGAUUGUAGUCUGCAACUCGACUACAUGAAGCUGGAAUCGCUAGUAAUCGCAAAUCAGCAUGUUG
rnacentral:rRNA from 1 species